rnacentral:lncRNA from 1 species
CAUGUGCGAGGCAGACAUACUUCCAGAACAACUUCUUCAACAGGACUGACAUCGACAAACAUUUUGACAACAACACACAAAGGCUAAACAUAUGUGAAUCAGUAAUUAGAUAACCAUUUAUUCCUUCCAUUUUUUGGGUCUUUUGUUUUUAUAGAAUUUUCUGCACGUGAGUUUCUUAUUCUGAUGUGUCCAUAUCACUAAACUCUCUUUACGCAUGACUAGGUUUCAUUCCCAACACUUGAGAUUCUUGACAAGGAGAAUCCAAAAGAGACGGGGCACUACUGGGUGCUGGUGUUGAACAUCAGGGACAAGCGCUUCCAAGUGCUAGAUUUAGCAAGGACACUGAAAGACAAGGCAUUCCUGACAACAACAUUGAAGAUCAUUGAUGGGAUUAAAGCAAAUUGGAGGAGGCACUACAACAGCUCAAGCAUGCAGAUUAGCGAUUGGGGACUACAAGAAAUCAAAUCCCCUAGACACAAUAACGGGUAAGCCCCCCCACCAGACCCUAUGUCCCCUCGCCCCUUUUUUACCAUCUUUUUUUGUCACAAAUGAGUUUAUUCAUCCUUUAAAGUAAGGCACCAUGAAGACUUCUUUAUUAAUGCACGCACAUCCAUUUUUUUGUAGCCUACAUAUACAAACACCAAACUUUUUUGUCGCAAAGUUCUAGGAAGACCAACUUGCACGCGCAAGCAAAAAAACAACCACGAGGCGAUAUGUCGCCUAGCACAGACCGUUUGUCGCUUAUCCCCGCCGACCAGCCCUGGCACGCAAGUCGCACGACCGACAUGGAGGUGGGGGAACGUGGCACUACUCGACCACACCGACGAGCUAGGUCGCCUAACACGGAACACAAAGUCGCCCACAUCGACGAGCUAGGUCGACUAACACGGAACACCAAGUCGCCCACAACGACGAGGUAGGUCGCCUAACACGGAACACCAAGUCACCCACAACGACGAGCUAGGUCGCCUAACAUGGGACACCAAGUCGCCCACACUAGGAACGCCUAAGGUCGCCUAACACGGAACACCAACUCGCCCACGCCGAUGAGCUAGGUCGCCUAACACGGAACACCAAGUCACCCACAGCAGGAACGCAUAGGUCUCCUAAAACACAACACCAACUCUCUCACACCGGCAAGCUAGGUCGCCUGACACGGAACAACAAGUCGCCCACACAAGGAACGCCUAGGUCGCCUAAAACACAACACCAACUCGCCCGCACAGGCGAGCUAGGUCGCCUAACAUGGAACAACAAGUCGCCCACACCAGAAACGCCUAGGUCGCCUAAAACACAACACCAACUCGCCCACACUAGCGAGCUAGGUCGCCUCACACAUAUUGUCGGAAUACUCGCCCACGCCGAUGAGCUAGGUCGCCUAACACGGAACACCAAGUCGCCCAAAGAACACAACAAAAACCGUGUUUUUCUGAUGUUUCUCUUUUUCCUUCUUUUUUUGCAAAUUUGCGUACACAUACCUCAUGAUAAUGCGUGUUUUUAUAGGCAUGAUUGCAGCAUACACAUGAUCUACAAUACCAAAAAUUGGGACGGCACCCAUCUGUUGGAGUAUGAGCCAAAAGACACAUCCAAAUUCAGGAAGAUACUAACGACAGAUAUGAUAAGGAGUGACCACAACGACAUCAAUUGGGAAAAGAUGUUAAACAUCAAGAAGGUAAAAAUGCGUCCAACACACAUUUAGAAACCCAUUGUCAUACAUAGUCUACUUUCUGUAGCAAAAAAACAUGACAUAAAUAACAUGGUCCACAGAACAAAAAUUACAACCCAAAUGCAUUUCCUCUCAGAAUGAAAAAACAUUUCAAAUCUGAGUAAAUUAUCUGGCAGCCCCACAAUUUUCUGUAUUUUUUUUCUACUUUUUUUUUUCUGUUUUGCUUGUUGAACCAGUCAAGCACUUCGGUUCAGACCGGGCGUGCAAGUGGCACAAUUGUGCCCUAACUCCUUGCAGUAGGCACACUUCGUCUUCUUCUUUGGGUGCAACUCAAUGCCCGAGUAGUACCUCUUGUCCCUUUUCCGUCCUUUAGUCGAUGACUUUGGGGGGUUAUGCAAAGGAGCUUCUCUAGGAUCUCCAACAGAUGCUUUCGUGGGGGUAGAUGAGGUUGGUGGGUCAGCCUGUGCUAUUGGCUUCUUCUUCCUCCUUGUUUUGUGAAGUUGGUUCAGUUCAGUCUCCAACGCAUGACCAUAGGAACGACACAAAGACGCUCCUGCAUCAGACAUACUGCCCAGUUUAGAUAUUUUGCCAAACAUAGCACUCAGUGAAACAAGCCUUAUUUGGUGGAUAGACUCUUGUGGCAUGGCAUCAGGGAGUUGCGUGUUAGUGGGCAAAUCAGUAAGAAUAGCGUUCUGUGUCCAUCUAGCAAGUAUGUAUUGCUCAGGUAUCUCAUCAACACCAAUGUGGGUGAAGACUUUCAGGAUAUGCACACAUAGCAGCCCAUCCCUGUAAAACCUGCAACACUCGCACCCAUACUCUUGCCGGUCAACAUCCGCUCUUACCAUGUACGUUCUACGACCAUAAACCCCGACAUAAAUUCGGUUAGGCUCAAGCAGAUACAUGUUGCCACCUUGAGGCCUAAUAUUAUACAUGCCAAUCAUUGAGAACUCAUGCUGAAACCUGUAGUAUAUAUCCCUUGUGUAAACUCGCAAAACUUGCUUCUCAAUUGGGAACUUGGACCAAAGCCUUGGCUCCAGCUCAUCCGUGCAGUAGUCAUUACCUCCUUCUUUCACCAAGAUCUUGUCGUUUAUCUUCUCGUAUUGCUUCACAAAGUUGAGCACAUAAUUUUGCGGGUUUACAUACGUUUUUAGGACAACAUUGAAGCCUUCACUCCGUUGAGUUGACUGGAGGAAUGCAAAAAAACAUUCUCUGAAGUAGCAAGGCACCCAAAGAUGCUUGAUCACAUAGAGAUCAUCAAAGCGUUUAUCUCCAAAAAUACCAUGUGUAACAACCAUAGUAGCCCACCUUGUCUCGAACUCAUCAGGAGUCAUGCUCAAGUCUAUAACCUCAUUGAAUUCUUUAGCUAGCUCUGGAUGCCUAGCCAAGAAUCCUCCUAACUUCUCUUGGCCUUUCUUAAUGAUAUGCCGGCGGCAACUAUGGUGAACUGCAUGCGGAAAAAUGUUUGAUAUAGAAUUUUUCAUCGCCUGGUCCUAGUCAGUUAUGAUGUUGAGUGGGGCAAUUCCAUGCAUUGCUUCAAGAAAAGCCCCAAACAACCGAUCAAAGCUGGUCUCUAGCUCUUGUCGCAAGAAGCCACAACCUAACAUGAAAGAUUGGCCAUGCCUGUUCAUCCCAAUAAACGGAGCAAAGGGCAUGUUAUACACGUUUGUCAAGUACGUUGUGUCAAAAGAGAUGCAAUCAUGGUAAGCUUUUGUGUACGCCUCUCGAGCCCUCCCAUCAACCCAAAACAAAUUCUCAGCUCUGCCUAUUCCAUCUUUUUUGACCUUGAAGAGGAAGCCUCCAUCUUCUCCCUGUUUUUCCUCAAAGUAGGCAACUGUCUCAGCCAAGUCACCCUCAUCUGCUUCAGCACUGCGAAGGGUAGUCCUCAUGUUGCUUAUCGACUUUGUCGUGUACGACACAAUUGAAGCUUGGCCCUAAAAAUCAGACAUAACUUUCAUCAUGCGACCUGUCUCCAUGUUACGCCUGUGCAAUACCUUAAGGAACUCAACCUCUUCUGGUGGGAUGCCUUGGUGACAGCGCAGGUACUUAGUGAGAGAUGGCUUGUCAACCAAUCUAUGAUUGUGCUCAAGAACAACACCUGUGACCACCCACUUUUUAUUUUUUUGCAGCUUCACUGUCAUUUUUGCUUGACAAUUAGUUUGUAUGAUAAAUUCCCUUCUCCUCUUCUUAACAACUCCAUAUGGAGAUUUAUAAGAUCUACAACUUGUUUUCUUGCUGCCAACAUCUUGCCCAUCGCCACUUUCCUCAGAAUCUGGAUUGAAUUUUUCAAAAAUAGGAGCAAACACAUCCUCUUGAUUUAUUCUAGGCUUCCCCGACUUGUUGCAGCAAAAGGUCUGCUUCUCAAGCACAUUAGUGUAUCCAGACCUCCUGGACGUGUUGGCUUUCAUCAAGAACCCAUUGCGGAGAGAGUAGGCUUUGUAGUGUGCCUUAACACCUUCAAGGGUUUCAAAUUCCAUGCCAACAAAAGGCUCUUGUGGGCUAGAUCGCACCUCAGUUUCAUCCAAAUGGACUUCCUCACCAUUGCUAAGCAGAGUAUUUGCCGUGCUCAUCAGGGCAGGGGAAGGCAUGGUAGUUUGAGUUGCUGCAACAUCAGAAGCACCAGUAACAGAAGCUGCUGCAACAUGAAAUUUAACUCCUCUGACAUAUUGCACAGUAGCAUAUGUCAAUUCCGAUGACUCGCCCACACCUUCAAUAGACAUUGGCACUUUCUCUGGUUGUGCUUGUGUGCAGUAUGCAGGGCCACCAUCAUCAUCAACAAACUCAUGAGGUAGCUCAUUGAGAUUAAUGCCAGCCAUUCUGCAUUUUUAAAAAAGUCAGGGAAUGAAUCUUGAUAGGUUUUUUUAUCGCAUCAUGCAAGGAAAAAUGUUAAUUGACUACUAGCUUGUUCUUUCUGUGCUUUUUUGUACUACAAACAGAUUUACUAACACACAAUCUGAUACACAUUUUUUUUGCAGAAACAAGGUACUAGACAGUAGGACAAUAUGCAAUCUUAAAGGAGGUGUACAUGUCUAGAGUAGGAGAUGCAAGGAGAAAGAAAAUGUCACAAGCUAGGGUCCAAGAGGCAAUUUUCUGCUAGUAGAUCAUGUGGUAGGUACAGUUCUAUGAAGAAGCUCAUGGAGAAUUUGCUGGAAAACUUG